rnacentral:tRNA from 1 species
CCGCUAUCUAUCGGAUCGUUUUAGAAACAUUCAGGGGCCAACAGUUUCAGGAUUGUUGAGCUCCAUUGGCGGGAUUUCGCCGUCUUCGUUUCUCUUUCUUCGCGGACGAACACGCGCCAGGGGCUGAGCGCUGUGCGAUGCACCGGCUUGAUGUCGAGUGCGCGCCGGCAUGUCUCUCGUGUUAGGGGCUUGUAGCUCAGUUGGUUAGAGCGCGCGCUUGAUAAGCGUGAGGUCGGAAGUUCAAGUCUUCCCAGGCCCACCAGCCUUCGCGCUUCGCUGCUUCGGCUAGGCAGGCCCUUCAAGAUGAAGGCUGCUGCGCCGCAGCCUUGGCGAAGGCGAGCGGGUAUCAACAAUGCGCUUCGUCUUCUGGUACGGGGCCAUAGCUCAGCUGGGAGAGCGCGUGCUUUGCAAGCAUGAGGUCGUCGGUUCGAUCCCGUCUGGCUCCACCAGAUGGAAUUGAAGCUCGAUAGCGCCUCGUUCAUUUCGUCCGCGAAACAUCACUUCGCACUCAUUGGUCCGGAUGGACGGUGACGUGCGUGUUUUCUGACAUCGUAAAGAGGAGAUCGAUCCGAGUUUGGAUCAAGCGAAGCAAUUCGCCUGAGCCAUUCAUUAUCUCCGGGAUCAUUUCGGCGCUCGCUUUCAAUCGCAAGAUUGGAUGCGGGUUGUAAAUGAUCCCUUUUAGCGAAGCUUGACCGCCUCGCUAUCGGGCCGAUCUUACGAAGCAAGCUGGUCUUUCUAGUCAAUGUCCGGCUGCGCAAUCGCAUUCAUCGAGGAUGCGUGCCUGAGA